GAUGAACGCUAGCGGGAGGCUUAACACAUGCAAGUCGUGGGGCAGCACGGGGUAGCAAUAUCCUGGUGGCGACCGGCGCACGGGUGAGUAACGCGUAUGCAACCUACCCAGUACAGGGGGAUAGCCCGGAGAAAUUCGGAUUAAUACCCCAUAAUGAUAUUAAUAGGCAUCUUUUAAUAUUUAAAGCUACGGCGGUACUGGAUGGGCAUGCGUAAGAUUAGCUAGUUGGUAGGGUAACGGCCUACCAAGGCUCCGAUCUUUAGGGGUCCUGAGAGGGUGAUCCCCCACACUGGUACUGAGACACGGACCAGACUCCUACGGGAGGCAGCAGUGAGGAAUAUUGGUCAAUGGGCGCAAGCCUGAACCAGCCAUCCCGCGUGAAGGAAGAAGGCGCUGUGCGUUGUAAACUUCUUUUCCGGAGGAAUAAAAUUUUGUACGAGUACAGGACUGAAGGUACUCCGGGAAUAAGCAUCGGCUAACUCCGUGCCAGCAGCCGCGGUAAUAC
rnacentral:rRNA from 1 species